rnacentral:rRNA from 1 species
GACAGAGGCCCCAAGCGUUAGGCGGAAUCACUGGGCUUAAAGCGUGUGUAGGCGGAUCGUUAAGUGUCUUGUGAAAUCCCACGGCUCACCCGUGGAACUGCUCGGUAUACUGGGUCGCUUGAGCCACUUAGGGGCUACCGGAACAAAUGGUGGAGCGGUGAAAUGCGUAGAUAUCAUUUGGAACGCCAAUGGUGAAAACAGGUAGCUGGGCCGACACUGACACUGAGAGACGAAAGCUAGGGGAGCGAAUGGG